AAGUUAAAUCUGCUGCUUAAUCUCUCUGUGAUUCAGUUCCAUAUGGAUAGAACUUGAUGAUCGAAUGUUCUUCCCUCUGGACAGAAGAAAAACAAGACAGGACAUUUUGGAACACUCACAUCUCACGCUUCCCUGAAGCACCUGAGAUCAGUGAUCUUAUCCGUAGUGAUGACCAGUGGUGACAGAGAAGGGGUGCUUCAGAAGGAAGGCUUUCCCGACAACUGUCUCUCAACAGGGUUAGACCUCUGCUCGCUACUGAGGAUUUGUCACAUUUCAUAAAGACAUCCAUGUCCAUCAAAAGCACUUUCCUGCCUUUUGGAUCAUGAUCAACAUUUUGUUAAAAAGAUGGAGGACUUUUUACAGCCAUCUGGUAUAUUGCUAUUGUAUGGCUGGCUUCACUUCUCUUAGAGGAAAAAAAAUGGACAAAAUGAAUUCUUGGUGGGUAGUAUUUUCAGGUUUGGAAAUGGAAAACUCCUGUAAUCUUCUAACUGCUGUUUGCCUAACUCUACCUAUUGUGGAUGAAUCUUUUCAUUGCUUUUUUGACCUGC
rnacentral:lncRNA from 1 species